rnacentral:rRNA from 1 species
UACGGGGGGGGCAAGCGUUGUUCGGAAUUACUGGGCGUAAAGGGCGCGUAGGCGGCCUUCUAAGUCGGACGUGAAAUCCCUCGGCUUAACCGAGGAACUGCGUCCGAUACUGAAAGGCUUGAAUCCGGGAGAGGGAUGUGGAAUUCCAGGUGUAGCGGUGAAAUGCGUAGAUAUCGGGAGGAACACCCGUGGCGAAGGCGGGUCCCUGGGACGGUACUGACGCUGAGGAGCGAAAGCGUGGGGAGCGAACAGG